rnacentral:tRNA from 1 species
GUCGGUGUAGCCAAGCGGUCAACGGCGGUAGACUUAAGAUCUCCUAUCACAGGAUUGCAUGGGUUCAAUUCCCAUCACCGACACCA